AGGCAGCAGUGGGGAAUCUUAGACAAUGGGCGCAAGCUGAUCUAGCCAUGCCGCGUGAGUGAUGAAGGCCUUAGGGUCGUAAAGCUCUUUCGCCUGUGAUGAUAAUGACAGUAGCAGGUAAAGAAACCCCGGCUAACUCCGUGCCAGCAGCCGCGGUAAUACGGAGGGGGUUAGCGUUGUUCGGAAUUACUGGGCGUAAAGCGCACGUAGGCGGAUUGGAAAGUUGGGGGUGAAAUCCCGGGGCUCAACCCCGGAACUGCCUCCAAAACUAUCAGUCUAGAGUUCGAGAGAGGUGAGUGGAAUUCCAAGUGUAGAGGUGAAAUUCGUAGAUAUUUGGAGGAACACCAGUGGCGAAGGCGGCUCACUGGCUCGAUACUGACGCUGAGGUGCGAAAGUGUGGGGAGCAAACAGGAUUAGAUACCCUGGUAGUCCACACCGUAAACGAUGAAUGCCAGUCGUCGGGCAGUAUACUGUUCGGUGACACACCUAACGGAUUAAGCAUUCCGCCUGGGGAGUACGGUCGCAAGAUUAAAACUCAAAGGAAUUGACGGGGGCCGCACAAGCGGUGGAGCAUGUGGUUUAAUUCGAAGUAACGCGCAGAACCUUACCAACCCUUGACAUACUCGUCGUCGCUCCAGAGAUGGAGCUUUCAGUUCGGCUGGACGAGAUACAGGUGCUGCAUGGCUGUCGUCAGCUCGUGUCGUGAGAUGUUCGGUUAAGUCCGGCAACGAGCGCAACCCACAUCCCUAGUUGCCAGCAGUUCGGCUGGGCACUCUAUGGAAACUGCCCGUGAUAAGCGGGAGGAAGGUGUGGAUGACGUCAAGUCCUCAUG
rnacentral:rRNA from 1 species